rnacentral:rRNA from 1 species
UGAUGCGCGCAGCCUGAUCCAGCCAUGCCGCGUGUGUGAAGAAGGCCUUCGGAUUGUAAAGCACUUUAAGUUGGGAGGAAGGGGAUUAGGUUAAUACCUUGCUGUUUUGACGUUACCGACAGAAUAAGCACCGGCUAACUUCGUGCCAGCAGCCGCGGUAAUACGAAGGGUGCAAGCGUUAAUCGGAAUUACUGGGCGUAAAGCGCGCGUAGGUGGUUCGUUAAGUUGGAUGUGAAAGCCCCGGGCUCAACCUGGGAACUGCAUUCGAAACUGGCGAGCUAGAGUAUGGCAGAGGGGGGUGGAAUUUCCUGUGUAGCGGUGAAAUGCGUAGAUAUGGGAAGGAACACCGAUGGCGAAGGCGACCCCCUGGGCUAAUACUGACACUGAUGUGCGAAAGCGUGGGGAGCAAACAGGAUUAGAUACCCUGGUAGUCCACGCCCUAAACGAUGUCAACUAGCCGUUGGGAUCCUUGAGAUCUUAUUGGCGCACCUAACGCAUUAAUUCAACCGCCGGGGGAGAACGGCCCCAAGGUUAAAACUCAAAGGAAUUUUGCGGGG